GAGCUUAGUGAUAUGGUUUAGUGGAGGACUUGUUAGAGUUAGGUCAGAGGUUGGACUGGGUGAUCUUGGAGGUCUCUUCCAACCUAAACGAUUCUGUGAUUCAUGAGAGCAGAGCAGAGGGGGACAAUCACCUCCCUCAGCCUGCUGGCCACGCUGCUUUUGAUGCAGCCCAGGAUACAAUUGGCUUUCUGGGCUGCAAGUGCAUGUUGUCAGCUCAUGUUGAGCUUCUCGUCAACCAACAUCCGCAAGUCCUCCUCAGGGCUGCUCUCAAUCCGUUCUCCACCCAGCCUGUAUUUGUGCUUGGGAUUGCCCUGACCCAGAUGCAGGACCUUGCACUUGGCCUUAUUGAACCUCAUUAGGUUUGCAUAGGCCCACCUGUAAAGCUUGUCCAGGUCCCUCUGGAUGGCAUCCCUUCCCUCCAGCAUGUCAACAGAACACCUUCCUCUUGAGAGAUUUACCUCAUGUAAUCUACUAUGUAGACGCUGUGGUGCCAGGAUUAUUGGUCAAUCAAGCUCUAGUUGAACUAUGAGUGUCUAGGACUUAAAAUUUCACUUCUAAAGAUAAACUCACUGCUUGAUAUCCAGUACUUAAAAGAUCAGAUAAUGAUUUAUUUUAACCAGAAAGUGUUCACUCUCCUUUGAAUUUGUGCAUGAAAAAUUGACUCUGUAUAUAGUUUAACCAUUGAGACUAGAAAUAGCUAAAUCUAUGAUACAAAGCAAAGGUACAAAUGAUGAGAAAACCAACACUGAAACAGACUGUACAAGGAAUUUCUUUAAGACAUUAAUCAGAUUAAACCUGAUAAAGUGUCUAAUUGGCUUGAUUACUGAUGGCAAGAAAACGUGCUAUAUACCUAUUCAUGGUAAAAGGGUUAUAGAGGCUUCAGGACAGUUGAAUGGGCAAGAUGUUUAGAAGACUAAAAGCAGUGUUUUCUAGAGCAAAAUUAUCACCUGAGCAAGCGGACUGUGAAAAUGGCAGCAUUCCUCCCAAACCAUCUACAAAACAGGGUGAAAAUACAAAAAAAGAUAAGCCACAGAAAGCUGAAAACAAUACAACAGCAGAACCAUUACCAAAGGAACAAGAGGGAGUUCCAGCAAAAGCACCUGAGCCUUCACAAACUGAAAAAUCAAAUGAACCAGCUAAAGCAACUCUACAGGAACUGCAUCUGCUCAAUAAUGGAAAAGAAGAUGCAAAGUAA
ensembl:lncRNA